GAUGAACGCUGGCGGCGUGCUUAACACAUGCAAGUCGAACGAGAAGUGAAGACGGAAACCUUCGGGCGGAAGGCUUUAUUUCGAGUGGCGGACGGGUGAGUAACGCGUGGGUAACCUGCCUCAUACAGGGGGAUAACAGUUGGAAACGACUGUUAAUACCGCAUAAGACCACAGCACCGCAUGGUGCGGGGGCAAAAACUCCGGUGGUAUGAGAUGGACCCGCGUUCGAUUAGCCAGUUGGCGGGGUAACGGCCCACCAAAGCGACGAUCGAUAGCCGAUCUGAGAGGAUGACCGGCCACAUUGGGACUGAGACACGGCCCAAACUCCUACGGGAGGCAGCAGUGGGGAAUAUUGCACAAUGGGGGAAACCCUGAUGCAGCGACGCCGCGUGAGUGAAGAAGUAUUUCGGUAUGUAAAGCUCUAUCAGCAGGGAAGAAAAUGACGGUACCUGAGUAAGAAGCCCCGGCUAACUACGUG
rnacentral:rRNA from 1 species